rnacentral:rRNA from 1 species
AGAGUUUGAUCCUGGCUCAGGACGAACGCUGGCGGCGCGCCUAACACAUGCAAGUCGAACGGAGAGAGAAGGAGCUUGCUUCUUCGAGUCGAGUGGCGAACGGGUGAGUAACGCGUGAGGAACCUGCCUCAAAGAGGGGGACAACAGUUGGAAACGACUGCUAAUACCGCAUAAGCCCACGGGCCGGCAUCGACCUGAGGGAAAAGGAGUGAUCCGCUUUGAGAUGGCCUCGGCGUCCGAUUAGCUAGUUGGUGAGGUAACGGCCCACCAAGGCAACGAUCGGUAGCCGGACUGAGAGGUUGAACGGCCACCAUUGGGACUGAGACACGGCCCAGACUCCUACGGGAGGCAGCA